GAUGAUUCAACAUUGUUUGGAGAAGGAUUUGGAUGGAAAGCUGUGACAGUGGGGUAUGGAUGCGGGUUUGUGUUUGGAGUUGCAACGGGAUAUGUUGUGUUUAGAACAAAAAAACCUGCAUGGUUUCUUAGGAUGCUUGAAGAUAAAUGGAAUCUCAACAACAAAAAAACAAAGAAGAAUGCUGGCAGAUAUGGUGCUAGAAGAAACUAAAUGAUGCAAUUGAUAUUUUCAAUAUAAACAAGAUAUCAAGUGGAUCAACAAUAUUAUUGGGUGUAGUUUACAUAAUUCAAGGUUAAAUGUACAUUACUUCUAUGAAAAAGAAUCCAUGCAUGUAACACAGGUUUGUGUUAACUAUAAAAUCAUUUAUGUUUUGGGUCCUAUUUUUAGGUGUCAAUCUUUGUUUUGGGAGUAUUCUGAAAGUUAUAGAGUUAUGAACAGAUUGAAGCAAUUCUUGUAAAUUUAAAAGAACACUUGACUGACAGAUUCUGUUAUCACAACAGCAGCAAUACUUGCAAGUAAAUUGUAAGA